CUUUGUAGAGGCCUUGUGGCUGUAAAAUCUUGCAAGGGGUUUGCCUGGUACCUCUCAGGAGGCAUUUCAAUCACUGGUGGAGCAGGUAGUUGUUGCUAGCUAUAGCUUCUCUCCACCUACAUUUCAAAGUAUUGAAAUGAAGCAGCUGAUGAAGGUUUUUUAGGUGGUUUUUUUUUUUUUUUUCAGAUGUGUUGGAAGACAAAUGAAUCUGCUCCAUCUUCAAAUGCUGGUUCUAGAGAAGAAAUCUCAAUUGAAAGGUUGCUCUGUCUGAUGUGGAGAACUUAGAUCCAAAUUUCUCCCAAGGAUCUGGUUGUCUCAACAAGAGCACUGAGGGAACACUACUUUGCUUUAUUUUUGAAGAUUCCAGUUUGACUGGUCAAAGCAAUGUGAGAUCAGUUGCCCGUGUGAUGUUUUCCACCCAUCAGGAAUGGGAGAAGCUAUCACAUGGUUGAUCUUUGAUACUCAGACCCUGCAGCCAAACUGUUGGCUGAGCUUUUCAGCCCCUGUCCGGAUCUCGAGGGUCUGUGGAGACACAGUGCUGUUUCUCCCUGUCUCAGUCCUGCUGCUGUUGACCACUGUUUUGAGGAGUGGAAAGAAGUUUUCAGGAGGCAAGAGGGCAAGGGCAAUUCUCCAGCAUCUUUUCUCUUGGCCCAAGAGGAGGAAGAGAGGAGGAAUGUAUACAGCUUAGCUACAUCACGGCAAGGUGCAAAGGAGCUCCACAGGCUCAGGCCACGCAGGCUCUGCUGUCAUCUUUGCUGAAAGUCUACCAG